rnacentral:rRNA from 1 species
AUGGAGAUGGAGGGCGAGGCGCCGCAGUCGCACCAGCUACUGCUGCACGGCGUCAGCCUCGACCUGCGCCUCGACACGGCCACGGCCACGCACCAGCAGGGGCAGCGCGGCGCACGGCGCCCGGCAUCCCCUCCCCCUGCUGCUCCCGCGGCCCUCGAGAACGCCGGCAGGGAGGCCUUCGCCUGCAACUACUGCCACCGCAAGUUCUUGAGCUCGCAGGCGCUCGGCGGCCACCAGAACGCGCACAAGCUCGAGCGCACCCUCGCCAAGCGCAGCCGCGACGUCCCCUCCGAAACCGUCGCCACCACGACUGCUUCCUCUUCCACAGCCGCCCACUGGCUCCACGCCGGCGGCGGGGAGCUCUGGGGUUACUCUGCUUCGGCCCCUGCUCUGGACUCCGCGACGAUGGCGCCACUGAUAAGCAUGGGCAUGGGCUGGGCUGGCACUGGAAGCACCGCAGCGGCCGGCGGGGAGGCGGUGGCGGAGAUGGACCUGUCGCUCAAGCUCUGA